UACGAAGGGGGCUAGCGUUGCUCGGAAUUACUGGGCGUAAAGGGAGCGUAGGCGGACAUUUAAGUCAGGGGUGAAAUCCCAGAGCUCAACUCUGGAACUGCCUUUGAUACUGGGUGUCUUGAGUGUGAGAGAGGUAUGUGGAACUCCGAGUGUAGAGGUGAAAUUCGUAGAUAUUCGGAAGAACACCAGUGGCGAAGGCGACAUACUGGCUCAUUACUGACGCUGAGGCUCGAAAGCGUGGGGAGCAAACAG
rnacentral:rRNA from 1 species